AACGCUAGCUACAGGCUUAACACAUGCAAGUCGAGGGGCAGCAUGGUCUUAGCUUGCUAAGGCCGAUGGCGACCGGCGCACGGGUGAGUAACACGUAUCCAACCUGCCGUCUACUCUUGGACAGCCUUCUGAAAGGAAGAUUAAUACAAGAUGGCAUCAUGAGUCCGCAUGUUCACAUGAUUAAAGGUAUUCCGGUAGACGAUGGGGAUGCGUUCCAUUAGAUAGUAGGCGGGGUAACGGCCCACCUAGUCUUCGAUGGAUAGGGGUUCUGAGAGGAAGGUCCCCCACAUUGGAACUGAGACACGGUCCAAACUCCUACGGGAGGCAGCAGUGAGGAAUAUUGGUCAAUGGGCGAGAGCCUGAACCAGCCAAGUAGCGUGAAGGAUGACUGCCCUAUGGGUUGUAAACUUCUUUUAUAAAGGAAUAAAGUCGGGUAUGCAUACCCGUUUGCAUGUACUUUAUGAAUAAGGAUCGGCUAACUCCGUGCCAGCAGCCGCGGUAAUACGGAGGAUCCGAGCGUUAUCCGGAUUUAUUGGGUUUAAAGGGAGCGUAGAUGGAUGUUUAAGUCAGUUGUGAAAGUUUGCGGCUCAACCGUAAAAUUGCAGUUGAUACUGGAUAUCUUGAGUGCAGUUGAGGCAGGCGGAAUUCGUGGUGUAGCGGUGAAAUGCUUAGAUAUCACGAAGAACUCCGAUUGCGAAGGCAGCCUGCUAAGCUGCAACUGACAUUGAGGCUCGAAAGUGUGGGUAUCAAACAGGAUUAGAUACCCUGGUAGUCCACACGGUAAACGAUGAAUACUCGCUGUUUGCGAUAUACAGCAAGCGGCCAAGCGAAAGCGUUAAGUAUUCCACCUGGGGAGUACGCCGGCAACGGUGAAACUCAAAGGAAUUGACGGGGGCCCGCACAAGCGGAGGAACAUGUGGUUUAAUUCGAUGAUACGCGAGGAACCUUACCCGGGCUUAAAUUGCAGAUGAAUUACGGUGAAAGCCGUAAGCCGCAAGGCAUCUGUGAAGGUGCUGCAUGGUUGUCGUCAGCUCGUGCCGUGAGGUGUCGGCUUAAGUGCCAUAACGAGCGCAACCCUUGUUGUCAGUUACUAACAGGUUCCGCUGAGGACUCUGACAAGACUGCCAUCGUAAGAUGUGAGGAAGGUGGGGAUGACGUCAAAUCAGCACGGCCCUUACGUCCGGGGCUACACACGUGUUACAAUGGGGGGGUACAGAGGGCCGCUACCACGCGAGUGGAUGCCAAUCCCAAAAACCUCUCUCAGUUCGGACUGGAGUCUGCAACCCGACUCCACGAAGCUGGAUUCGCUAGUAAUCGCGCAUCAGCCACGGCGCGGUGAAUACGUUCCCGGGCCUUGUACACACCGCCCGUCAAGCCAUGGGAGCCGGGGGUACCUGAAGUGCGUAACCGCGAGGAGCGCCCUAGGGUAAAACUGGUGACUGGGGC
rnacentral:rRNA from 1 species